UACGUAGGGGGCAAGCGUUGUCCGGAUUUAUUGGGCGUAAAGAGCGUGUAGGCGGCCUGAAAGGUCAGCUGUGAAAACUCGAGGCUCAACCUCGAGACGUCGGUUGAAACCACUGGCUAGAGUCCGGAAGAGGAGAGUGGAAUUCCCGGUGUAGCGGUGAAAUGCGCAGAUAUCGGGAAGAACACCCGUGGCGAAGGCGGCUCUCUGGGACGGUACUGACGCUGAGACGGCGAAAGCGUGGGGAGCGAACAGG
rnacentral:rRNA from 1 species